rnacentral:lncRNA from 1 species
GUGAAUGUUAUUUUUAAUGAAAGUGGUACAUUUUGACUCACGAUGUUGAAACCAGAUUAUAAAUGAGUCAUCGGUGAAUCAACCACAAGGAGCCUUUAUGAAGGUGAUUUACAGGAGGACUCUGACGUCUGCUGUCCCUUCACACGCUUCGCAGAGAUGCUGUCAGGCUUGGAGUUGGUCUGGGGCAUCUGCUGCCGAGUCAGCUCAAAAGGAUGCUGUGUUGUCACCAGUGGGAUUCCCCAGCCAGCCGGCACUGCGGUCCCACCCACAGAACUAAGGCAGCCAUCACUGAACAAUGCUUGUGGUUACAUCAUAGCUGCUGGCUUCCAGGUAGUGACUAGUAGAUACUGGGGAGAGUCACAGGCCAUCUGUUGCUCCCUGCUCCCAGACUCUUCCCUAAUGCCCACAUCCCCUCACCUGGUCAUCAAGAGGCUCAGUAGGAGGGCAGAAAAGUGAGACUUAAAGGUGAACAGACCUGGGCUUGAGUCCUAGGUCUAACGGAAUGGCCACAAAGAGUCAGGCAACAGCCUCAUGUUGCUCGUGUCUGAAAUGUAAACAUUAUCACCUACCAUGCCUCCCUUGCAGGAACCUUGCAAGGUUCUCGUGGGACCGUGCGAGUGAAAGUGUCUUGGAGACUGUCACAGGCCAUACCAAGCCAGCCCUUGCAGCUUCCACUUUCGCCCUCUGGAACUGCUGCCCUGGGGCCACCAUGCGAGGAAGCUGCUAGCCUGCUGGAAUAGGGGAGGCCACAUGGAGGAGAAGUGAGAUCCCCAACUUGACCGCCAGCACCAGCUGCCAGACUGUCAGAGAGGCCAUCCUGAGAUGACCUUCUAGCCCAGAUUCUGUGGAUCCGGAAUUUGGACAGAGAACAGAGAGGAUGACUUAUGUCUGCGCUACAACGUCUGGGGCCUCAACAGAAAAGACUCAAAGGCUGGGGUGACUCGACAGCUAGGGUUUAGAAUCAUGUGAAUGCUUGUUCACUCAUAUAUCUGGCAUCUGAUACAGACUAGGACUGCAGACCCAUGGUCUACAUGUGGCCUCUCCAUGUGGCUUGGCUUCCCCACAGCAAGGCAGCCACAGGAUAGUCAGACUUCUUCCUUGGUUACAGAACCCAAAAGCAUUGUCCCAGCAAACAAGACAGAGCAGCAGUGGCUUUUGUGACCCAGCUUCAGAAGUGGCACAGCAUCACUUCUCUCCUACUUUACACUGGUCAAAGUAGCCUCAAGUCUGUGAGGAGGAGGGAUGAGACUCUGUCUCUUAAUGGGAAAGGAAUCAAAGAAUUUUGAGGGUAUGUUCUGUCACAUUGCCCGAGACAUAGUCUCAGCGUUGAGCUAUUCUUCCUAAGCCUGUUACCAGCUGCCUGUUGAAAGAAUUGAUUGUCUCCUUAAUGUUCCUCUGUUGACCUGUGAAUGUCUUGCUGCAUCUCCCCCUACCCCUAACUAUCUGAAUUCUCAGCUGCUCCACUAUAUAUCAAGAAGUCUUCACUUGAUAUAAGAUCCUGACUCCCGAAAUGGAGUACACAGGAUCUCCCUCUGUACAGCAGGGCUUCUAAAUCUGUCAACAGCCCCUCCUCCAUGAUGGAUGGUCCAUCUCCAGUUUACAACCUGGUCCCUGUUAAUCCUCUGUAACUUCUUGUCAGGACUCCUUAAAGGGAUGAAAUAUUUUUCUGAACGUUGAAAACUCUGCAAACACACAAGAGAGGAGUUAUUAAACAAGCUCACAGUGGCUUCUUCACAAUACCAUUUGAUUGAAAAUAGUUUGACAAGGAAAAUUAAUCCCAGACUGAACUGAGGACUCAUUUUCCAAAAUGGGAAGAAAUGCUUCUCCUUCCACCAUCAAAGCCCCUCAAAAUGCCACCAAGAUUGUUGAAUAACACUGACUUGAGACAGGAAACCAAACGACUGGAAAUCCAGCUGCCCCUGGUUUAUUCAUAUUUACGCCUACAGAUUCACCCUUCGGCCUGGGCAAGCUUGACUCAAGAGAAGAGUUUCAUGCGCCUGAGCACCUAGCACCGGAUUUUAGAAGCUUCACGUUGCACUGACUGACAAGAAUUUCUGUUGGAGAAAACCUAAGGGUGUCCAUGGAAUUGUGUGAAAUAGUGGGACAGAAAGAGGCAGGGACCACAUCCCAGAGGGAGAUCAAAUGAAGCAAAACAAAGGAAGAGAAGGACUAGACCCAAACCCAGACCCCACACACAGCCUAGGACACGGCUCGGGUUGUCUGGAAGCAGUUCCCAGACAGAAACCUCAGUGUGAUGAAUCAGUUUCCUUGGACAUAGAGGGGAUAAAGAGUCUGCUGUAGAGACAGAGCAUAUUUAUUCAAGGAAUGGCUGUGAGAAUCGGGUAUGGGCAGAGGUGGGGGUGGAGUAUGUGGUGGCAAAAAGCCACCAUGAAUCCCCAGUCUAGACACUGAGCCCAUAAUGCCCAGGGAGAAGCAAACGAUCUAAAAGAGAAGGCAUGCUGGGGAGAAGCCAGUUGAGCCUGGCUCUGAAAUGACUGGUUGUGAUACCAGAGUCAGAUACUGCAGACGAGUCUUUGAAAAUCACAGAGAGGAGAAAAUAGAGAUGAUUUUAAGAUAAAUGUUAAUAGAAGCCCAAGUCUUCUCUCUUAUAAAUCAAAUUCCAUUGUAAACAAUGCCAUAAAAAAUGUCUACACCUCUAAAUAGCGAAGAUUUCCAAGUCUUAGAAGAAGGCCCCCUUAUAUGAAGCAACACAAACACAAUGAGUGUGAAAGCAACACUUAGACAACCUUGAAUUAUUCAGGACCAUCAUCAGUUAUAAAACAGUGUUGACACUGACUGAGGACACGCAUCCCAAGCCCAGAAAAAGAGAGAACAUCACCAUUUGGCCAGCAGUGACCUACAUGAUACAUUUUUAAAAGAUAAGACUUUUCCUCUUUUACUACCCAC